rnacentral:rRNA from 1 species
GAUUAGCCUGCGUCCGAUUAGCUAGUUGGUAGGGUAAAGGCCUACCAAGGCGACGAUCGGUAGCUGGUCUGAGAGGAUGAUCAGCCACACUGGAACUGAGAGACGGUCCAGACUCCUACGGGAGGCAGCAGUGGGGAAUAUUGGACAAUGGGGGGAACCCUGAUCCAGCAAUGCCGCGUGUGUGAAGAAGGCCUGAGGGUUGUAAAGCACUUUCGGUGGGGAGGAGGUUACRUUGGUUAAGAGCUGAUGUAAUGGMCGAUACCUACAGAAGAAGCACCGGCUAACUCCGUGCCAGCAGCCGCGGUAAUACGGAGGGUGCGAGCGUUAAUCGGAAUUACUGGGCGUAAAGGGUGCGUAGGUUGUUGAUUAAGUUAUCUGUGAAAGAACUGGGCUCAACCURGUGAUGUCAGAUGAUACUGAUUGACUGGAGUAAGGGAGAGGGUAGUGGAAUUUCCGGUGUAGCGGUGAAAUGCGUAGAGAUCGGAAGGAACACCGGUGGCGAAGGCGACUACCUGGCCUAUUACUGACACUGAGGCACGAAAGCGUGGGGAGCAAACAGGAUUAGAUACCCUGGUAGUCCACGCUGUAAACGAUGUCAACUAGCUGUUGG